rnacentral:rRNA from 1 species
UACGUAGGUGGCAAGCGUUGUCCGGAAUUACUGGGUGUAAAGGGAGCGCAGGCGGGAAGCCAAGUCAGCUGUGAAAACUACGGGCUUAACUUGUAGACUGCAGUUGAAACUGGUUUUCUUGAGUGAAGUAGAGGUUGGCGGAAUUCCGAGUGUAGCGGUGAAAUGCGUAGAUAUUCGGAGGAACACCGGUGGCGAAAGCGGCCAACUGGGCUUUAACUGACGCUGAGGCUCGAAAGUGUGGGGAGCAAACAGG